UACGGGGGGUGCAAACGUUGCUCGGAAUCAUUGGGCGUAAAGCGCACGUAGGCGGUCUGAUAAGUCGGAUGUGAAAGCCCUCGGCUCAACCGAGGAAGUGCAUUCGAAACUGCCAGACUUGAAUAUGGAAGAGGGUCGCGGAAUUCCCGGUGUAGAGGUGAAAUUCGUAGAUAUCGGGAGGAACACCAGUGGCGAAGGCGGCGACCUGGGCCAAUAUUGACGCUGAGGUGCGAAAGCGUGGGGAGCAAACAGG
rnacentral:rRNA from 1 species